rnacentral:lncRNA from 1 species
CCCAGCCCAAAACAUCCUUAAACCGCGACCCACCUCUCUGACCCGCCCCAUUCCCAAACACAUAUAACCCCAAUUAUAACGUUUCUUCCACAAGCCCUAACCCUAAUCUAUACUCCCAAGGCGCCCACUCUAUCUCCUGCGCCUCUCUUCCGCAAUUCAACCCACAAAUGACAAAACUCGCCAAACUCAGGCGAGUUCACUCGCACACGCCCUUAUCUCACUACAUCAUCAUGAUUCUAACGGCCUCUCACAUAUUUUCAUCUCUCAUAUGUGUUCUUGUGAAUGAAUUCCGAAAAAUGGGGACCGUGGAUUGAUUUUGAAUCGAUCCUCUCUCUCCAUUUGUCCAAAAAUGGGUUCCACUGUUUCAAUAUGUGCUCAGCUCCUUCUUCCUUGACUUUUAGAUUAAAUCUUUAAUUUUGGUCCCAUAGUAGUUCGAUUGGUUUGGGUGUUAGUGGAUUGCUCAAAAAAGUUAUUUUGAAUGAGAACAUUUUCAUGUUUCCAGCUUGUUGAAUUUCAAUGGUUUAGGUUGUUUUUUUGAUACUGAAGGGUACUGUUUUGUGAUGAAAGAGGAGUUUCUCUUAGAUUUGGGUAGAUUUGCUACCCUUUAAUAAUAUGGAUAUUGCUAGCAACAAUGACAGUUAGUCAGAAAAGAGAAAUAAUGAAGAAGUCACGAAUUAUCAGUCACCAAAUAUUUCCUCGGAAUGGCAAUUAAAUGGGAACAAUUUGACUAAUGUAUCUAUGGGGAUGGCUGAUUCAUUUUGCCCUACUACUUCGGAUCAGUCUAACAAUUCGCCGAGCUUAGGCUUUUGUGAUGCAAAUGUUCAAAUAAAUUCCAUAAUCUAUGGCCCUCAAAGUAAUAUUAUAACUUAGAUAUUAAAUAAUUCAAUCAUAGAGAUACUUAGGCAUGCAUUUAAUUUAGUAUCGUGAUUGUGUACACGCUAUUUCUGCUGGAGUUAUUAAUGCUCUUUUGUUUUUGUUUUGUGUUUGUUUUUGUUUUUCAUUUCAUUCACUGAGCCAAGGGUCGAUUGGAAACAGCAUCUCUGCCCUUUCGGGUAGGGGUAAGGCUCGACUACAUAUUAACCUCCCCAGACCCCACUUUGUGGGACUAUACUGGGUAGUUGUUGUUAUUGUUGUUGUUGAUUGUGU